UACGUAGGGCGCAAGCGUUGUCCGGAAUUAUUGGGCGUAAAGAGCUCGUAGGCGGCCUGUUACGUCUGCUGUGAAAUCCCGGGGCUUAACCCCGGGCGUGCAGUGGAUACGGGCAGGCUGGAGGCAGGCAGGGGAGAACGGAAUUCCCGGUGUAGCGGUGAAAUGUGCAGAUAUCGGGAGGAACACCGGUGGCGAAGGCGGUUCUCUGGGCCUGUACUGACGCCGAGGAGCGAAAGCGUGGGGAGCGAACAGG
rnacentral:rRNA from 1 species